AUGAACGCUGGCGGCGUGCCUAACACAUGCAAGUCGAACGGAGUUUAGCGCUGAUGAAGCUUCGGCAGAUCUGUUAAACUUAGUGGCGGACGGGUGAGUAACGCGUGGGUAACCUGCCUCAUACAGGGGGAUAGCAGUUGGAAACGACUGAUAACACCGCAUAAGCGCACGGUAUCGCAUGAUACAGUGUGAAAAUAUUUAUAGGUAUGAGAUGGACCCGCGUCUGAUUAGCUAGUUGGUGAGGUAACGGCCCACCAAGGCGACGAUCAGUAGCCGGCCUGAGAGGGCGGACGGCCACAUUGGGACUGAGACACGGCCCAAACUCCUACGGGAGGCAGCAGUGGGGGAUAUUGCACAAUGGGCGAAAGCCUGAUGCAGCGACGCCGCGUGAGUGAAGAAGUAUUUCGGUAUGUAAAGCUCUAUCAGCAGGGAAGAAAGACCUUGUAAGAGGGGAUGACGGUACCUGAGUAAGGAGCCCCGGCUAACUACGUGCCAGCAGCCGC
rnacentral:rRNA from 1 species